rnacentral:rRNA from 1 species
GGGUUGUGAGGUUAAGCGACUAAGCGUACACGGUGGAUGCCCUGGCAGUCAGAGGCGAUGAAGGACGUGCUAAUCUGCGAUAAGCGUCGGUAAGGUGAUAUGAACCGUUAUAACCGGCGAUUUCCGAAUGGGGAAACCCAGUGUGUUUCGACACACUAUCAUUAACUGAAUCCAUAGGUUAAUGAGGCGAACCGGGGGAACUGAAACAUCUAAGUACCCCGAGGAAAAGAAAUCAACCGAGAUUCCCCCAGUAGCGGCGAGCGAACGGGGAGCAGCCCAGAGCCUGAAUCAGUAUGUGUGUUAGUGGAAGCGUCUGGAAAGGCGCGCGAUACAGGGUGACAGCCCCGUACACAAAAAUGCACAUGCUGUGAGCUCGAUGAGUAGGGCGGGACACGUGGUAUCCUGUCUGAAUAUGGGGGGACCAUCCUCCAAGGCUAAAUACUCCUGACUGACCGAUAGUGAACCAGUACCGUGAGGGAAAGGCGAAAAGAACCCCGGCGAGGGGAGUGAAAAAGAACCUGAAACCGUGUACGUACAAGCAGUGGGAGCACGCUUAGGCGUGUGACUGCGUACCUUUUGUAUAAUGGGUCAGCGACUUAUAUUCUGUAGCAAGGUUAACCGAAUAGGGGAGCCGAAGGGAAACCGAGUCUUAACUGGGCGUUAAGUUGCAGGGUAUAGACCCGAAACCCGGUGAUCUAGCCAUGGGCAGGUUGAAGGUUGGGUAACACUAACUGGAGGACCGAACCGACUAAUGUUGAAAAAUUAGCGGAUGACUUGUGGCUGGGGGUGAAAGGCCAAUCAAACCGGGAGAUAGCUGGUUCUCCCCGAAAGCUAUUUAGGUAGCGCCUCGUGAAUUCAUCUCCGGGGGUAGAGCACUGUUUCGGCAAGGGGGUCAUCCCGACUUACCAACCCGAUGCAAACUGCGAAUACCGGAGAAUGUUAUCACGGGAGACACACGGCGGGUGCUAACGUCCGUCGUGAAGAGGGAAACAACCCAGACCGCCAGCUAAGGUCCCAAAGUCAUGGUUAAGUGGGAAACGAUGUGGGAAGGCCCAGACAGCCAGGAUGUUGGCUUAGAAGCAGCCAUCAUUUAAAGAAAGCGUAAUAGCUCACUGGUCGAGUCGGCCUGCGCGGAAG